GAUGAACGCUGGCGGCGUGCCUAAUACAUGCAAGUCGAGCGAACAGAUGAGGAGCUUGCUCCUCUGAUGUUAGCGGCGGACGGGUGAGUAACACGUGGAUAACCUACCUAUAAGACUGGGAUAACUUCGGGAAACCGUAGCUAAUACCGGAUAAUAUUUUGAACCGCAUGGUUCAAUAGUGAAAGACGGUUUUGCUGUCACUUAUAGAUGGAUCCGCGCUGCAUUAGCUAGUUGGUAAGGUAACGGCUUACCAAGGCAACGAUGCGUAGCCGACCUGAGAGGGUGAUCGGCCACACUGGAACUGAGACACGGUCCAGACUCCUACGGGAGGCAGCAGUAGGGAAUCUUCCGCAAUGGGCGAAAGCCUGACGGAGCAACGCCGCGUGAGUGAUGAAGGUCUUCGGAUCGUAAAACUCUGUUAUUAGGGAAGAACAAAUGUGUAAGUAACUAUGCACGUCUUGACGGUACCUAAUCAGAAAGCCACGGCUAACUACGUG
rnacentral:rRNA from 1 species